rnacentral:rRNA from 1 species
AUUGAACGCUGGCGGCAGGCCUAACACAUGCAAGUCGAGCGGAUGAAGGGUGCUUGCUCCUGGAUUCAGCUGCGGACGGGUGUGUAAUUCCUAGGAAUCUGCCUGGUAUUUGGGGAUAACGUCCGGACACGGGCGCUAAUCCCGCAUACGUCCUGAUGUUGAACGUGUUGGUUCUUCUUACCUCACGCUUUCAUAUGUGCCUAGUUCGUAUUAGCUAGUUGGUUUGGUAAAGUCCUACCAAGGCGACGAUCCGUAACUGGUCUGAGAGGAUGAUCAGUAACACUGGAAGUGAGAAACGGAAAAGAAACAUACGGGAGGCAGCAGUGGGGAAUAUUGGAAAAUGGGGGAAAGCAUGAUACAGCAAAGGCGGGGGGGAGAAGAAGGGAUUCGGAUUGGAAAGAAAGUUAAGUGGGGAGGAAGGGAAGUAAGUUAAAACCAUGCUGGUAUGACGGUAACAAAAGAAUAAGCAACGGCUAACUACGUG